GCCAGCAGCCAUAUCUACCUGCAACUCACAACUGGCAACCCACUGAAGCUAAGCAGGUGUGAGCCUGGUCAGUACCUGGAUGGGAAACCUCCUGGGAAAAACUAAGGUUGCUGCUGGAA
rnacentral:rRNA from 1 species